GACGAACGCUGGCGGCGUGCUUAACACAUGCAAGUCGAACGAAGUGGCGAACGGGUGAGUAACGCGUAAUCAACCUGCCCUUCAGAGGGGGACAACAGUUGGAAACGACUGCUAAUACCGCAUACUGAAGGAGGGGAUUGCGUCUGAUUAGAUAGUUGGAGGGGUAACGGCCCAACAAGGCGAUGAUCAGUAGCCGGGCUGGGAGGAGGAACCGGCAAAUUGGGACCGGGGCACGGCCCAGGCUCCCACGGGAGGCAGCAGGUGGGAAUCUUCCGCAAUGGAAGAAAGUCUGACGGAGCAACGCCGCGUGAGUGAUGACGGGCUUCGGGUUGUAAAGCUCUGUUAAUCGGGACGCGGUACCGGAAUAGAAAGCCACGGCUAACUACGUGCCAGCAGCCGCGGUAAUAC
rnacentral:rRNA from 1 species